AGAGUUUGAUCCUGGCUCAGAACGAACGCUGGCGGCGCGCCUAAUACAUGCAAGUCGAGCGAGAAGACGUAGCAAUACGUUUGUAAAGCGGCGAACGGGUGAGGAAUACAUGGGUAACCUACCCUCGAGUGGGGAAUAACUAGCCGAAAGGUUAGCUAAUACCGCAUACGACUCUCGGUCUGCGGAUCGGGAGAGAAAGCGAUACCGUGGGUGUCGCGCUCUUGGAUGGGCUCAUGUCCUAUCAGCUAGUUGGUGAGGUAACGGCUCACCAAGGCUUCGACGGGUAGCUGGUCUGAGAGGACGAUCAGCCACACUGGCACUGCGACACGGGCCAGACUCCUACGGGAGGCAGCAGUAAGGAAUAUUGCGCAAUGGGCGAAAGCCUGACGCAGCGACGCCGCGUGGGGGAUGAAGGUCUUCGGAUUGUAAACCCCUUUCGGCAGGGAAGAUGGAACGGGCAACCGUUCGGACGGUACCUGCAGAAGCAGCCACGGCUAACUUCGUGCCAGCAGCCGCGGUAAUACGAAGGUGGCAAGCGUUGUUCGGAUUUACUGGGCGUACAGGGAGCGUAGGCGGUUGGGUAAGCCCUCCGUGAAAUCUCCGGGCCUAACCCGGAAAGUGCGGAGGGGACUGCUUAGCUAGAGGAUGGGAGAGGAGCGCGGAAUUCCCGGUGUAGCGGUGAAAUGCGUAGAGAUCGGGAGGAAGGCCGGUGGCGAAGGCGGCGCUCUGGAACAUUUCUGACGCUGAGGCUCGAAAGCGUGGGGAGCAAACAGGAUUAGAUACCCUGGUAGUCG
rnacentral:rRNA from 1 species